rfam:Nicotiana sylvestris Nsyl_contig36822, whole genome shotgun sequence.
GUGCUUUGCUAUUUUUAUUGACUUCAGGAUAUCGUGAUAUUGAGAAUUCAAUAAUGUAUAGCAAGAAGCCU